rnacentral:rRNA from 1 species
AAGUUUGAUGGCGACCGGCGCACGGGUGAGUAACACGUAUCCAACCUGCCGAUGACUCGGGGAUAGCCUUUCGAAAGAAAGAUUAAUACCCGAUGGCAUAGUUCUUCCGCAUGGUGGAACUAUUAAAGAAUUUCGGUCAUCGAUGGGGAUGCGUUCCAUUAGGUUGUUGGCGGGGUAACGGCCCACCAAGCCUUCGAUGGAUAGGGGUUCUGAGAGGAAGGUCCCCCCACAUUGGAACUGAGACACGGUCCAAACUCCUACGGGAGGCAGCAUG